rnacentral:rRNA from 1 species
UACGGAGGAUCCAAGCGUUAUCCGGAAUCAUUGGGUUUAAAGGGUCCGUAGGCGGUUUGGUAAGUCAGUGGUGAAAGCCCAUCGCUCAACGGUGGAACGGCCAUUGGUACUGCCAGACUUGAAUUAUUAGGAAGUAACUAGAAUAUGGUAGUGUAGCGGUGAAAUGCUUAGAGAUUACAUGGAAUACCAAUUGCGAAGGCAGGUUACUACUAAUGGAUUGACGCUGAUGGACGAAAGCGUGGGUAGCGAACAGG